CCUGUCUCUCCUGAGACACUGUGUUGACCUGCCCUCAAGGAGACCCUCAUCCAGUGGAAGAGGUUCUUCAGCCUUUGGUGUCAGGAGGAGUAAAACCCUUUACAAGACCCAACCAGGUAUGGAGAGAAGAGAGGGACCAGCAUAGAGGAAGUGCUGUUUGACAUUAAACCUAACAAGGCUGGCAAGGAAGAACAAAGACGCCUUCGCAUGAAACUUCCAGCUUGGUCAGUAGCAUACCUGAUCACGCUCCAGUGAAUAAGCAUCGACAUGGAUACAUCACCACGUGUAGAACAGACAGCUAGUGGGAAGCUGCUGCGUAACACCAGGGGUGCAGCUCCAUGCUUGAUGACCGAGAGGACGGCACAGGGCUUGGGGUGGAGAGGAGGUUCAAAAGGAGGGGAUACAUGUGUACACACAGCCAAUUCACGUUGCUGUGCAACAGAAACCAACACAGCAUCAUA